AGUGGAUGGGGAGCAACCUAGUUGUGCGUGUGUAAAGGUAGUGCCAAGAAAAGCGAUGAUCAUGUUGAAAAUCAAUUCCCGGUACCCGAAACCGACACAGGUGGGCAAGUAGAGAAUACUAAGGGGCGCGAGGUAACUCUCUCCAAGGAACUCGGCAAAAUGACCCCGUAACUUAGGGAGAAGGGGUGCCACCGAGAGGUGGUCGCAGUGAAGAGGCCCAGGCGACUGUUUAGCAAAAACAUAGGUCUCUGCAAACUCGAAAGAGGAGGUAUAGGGGCUGACGCCUGCCCAGUGCCGGAAGGUUAAAGAAGUUGGUCAGUUUUAGGAUGAAGCUAGCGACUGAAGCCCCGGUGAACGGCGGCCGUAACUAUAACGGUCCUAAGGUAGCGAAAUUCCUUGUCGGGUAAGUUCCGACCCGCACGAAAGGCGUAACGAUCUGGGCGCUGUCUCGGAGAGAGGCUCGGCGAAAUAGGAUUGUCUGUGAAGAUACGGACUACCUGCAUUUGGACAGAAAGACCCUAUGAAGCUUUACUAUAGCUUGGAAUUGUGUUCGGGCUUCCUGUGCGCAGGAUAGGUGGGAGGCGUAGAAGGUAUUCUUGUGGGGAUACUGGAGCCAACGGUGAGAUACCACUCUCAGGAGGCUAGAAUUCUAACUUAAUUAAGGACAGUUUCAGGUGGGUAGUUUGACUGGGGCGGUCGCCUCCAAAAAGGUAACGGAGGCGUACAAAGGUUCCCUCAGACUGGUUGGAAAUCAGUCGAAGAGUGCAAAGGCAGAAGGGAGCUUGACUGCGAGAAGUACAGUUCGAGCAGGGUGGAAACACGGUCUUAGUGAUCCGACGGUGCUGUGUGGAAGGGCCGUCGCUCAACGGAUAAAAGUUACUCUAGGAUAACAGGCUGAUCUCCCCCAAGAGUUCACAUCGACGGGGAGGUUUGGCACCUCGAUGUCGGCUCAUCGCAACCUGGGGCGGAAGUACGUCCCAAGGGUUGGGCUGUUCGCCCAUUAAAGCGGUACGUGAGCUGGGUUCAGAACGUCGUGAGACAGUUCGGUCCAUAUCCGAUGUAGGCGUGAGAAUAUUGAGAGGAGCCUUCCUUAGUACGAGAGGACCGGGAAGGACGCACCGCUGGUGUACCUGUUAUGAUGCCAAUUGUAAACGCAGGGUAGCCAAGUGCGGAGAGGAUAACCGCUGAAAGCAUCUAAGUGGGAAGCCCACCUCAAGAUGAGUAUUCUGGUGUAAGGUCACGGGAAGACGACCCGUAAAUAGGCACGAGGUGGAAGUGCAGAGAUGUAUGAAGCCGAAGUGUACUAAUAGACCGUCGGCUUGACCUC
rnacentral:rRNA from 1 species